rnacentral:rRNA from 1 species
UACAGAGGUCUCAAGCGUUGUUCGGAUUCAUUGGGCGUAAAGGGUGCGUAGGUGGCGGGGUAAGUCGGGUGUGAAAUCUCGGAGCUUAACUCCGAAACUGCAUUCGAUACUGCCGUGCUUGAGGACUGGAGAGGAGACUGGAAUUUACGGUGUAGCAGUGAAAUGCGUAGAGAUCGUAAGGAAGGCCAGUGGCGAAGGCGAGUUCCUGGACAGUUACUGACGCUGAGGCACGAAGGCCAGGGGAGCAAACGGG